UACGUAGGGUGCGAGCGUUAAUCGGAAUUACUGGGCGUAAAGCGUGCGCAGGCGGUGAUGUAAGACAGAUGUGAAAUCCCCGGGCUCAACCUGGGAACUGCAUUUGUGACUGCAUCGCUGGAGUGCGGCAGAGGGAGGUGGAAUUCCACGUGUAGCAGUGAAAUGCGUAGAUAUCGGGAGGAACACCUAUGGCGAAAAGCAGGUACCUGGACCAUUACUGACACUCAGCUGCGAAAGCUAGGGGAGCAAACAGG
rnacentral:rRNA from 1 species